AUUAAACGCUGGCGGCAUGCCUUACACAUGCAAGUCGAACGGCAGCACGGGGGCAACCCUGGUGGCGAGUGGCGGACGGGUGAGUAAAGCAUCGGAACGUAUCCUGGAGUGGGGGAUAACGUAGCGAAAGUUACGCUAAUACCGCAUAUUCUGUGAGCAGGAAAGCAGGGGAUCGCAAGACCUUGCGCUCUGGGAGCGGCCGAUGUCGGAUUAGCUAGUUGGUGGGGUAAAAGGCCUACCAAGGCGACGAUCCGUAGCGGGUCUGAGAGGAUGAUCCGCCACACUGGGACUGAGACACGGCCCAGACUCCUACGGGAGGCAGCAGUGGGGAAUUUUGGACAAUGGGCGCAAGCCUGAUCCAGCCAUGCCGCGUGAGUGAAGAAGGCCUGUGU
rnacentral:rRNA from 1 species